AGCAGUGUGUCAUAGUGGUUUGAGUGUUGGACUACGGCUCCGGAGGCCAGGGUUUGAAUCCCAGCUCGGCUG